rfam:Ascochyta rabiei strain ArDII scaffold_322, whole genome shotgun sequence.
GGCGUUGUGGCGGAGUGGUUAUCGCGCAAGACUAGAAAUCUUGUUCCUUCGGGAGCGUAGGUUCGAAUCCUGCCAACGUCG